GACGAACGCUGGCGGCGUGCUUAACACAUGCAAGUCGAGCGGUAAGGCCCUUUCGGGGGUACACGAGCGGCGAACGGGUGAGUAACACGUGGGUGACCUGCCCUCAGCUCUGGGAUAAGCCUGGGAAACCGGGUCUAAUACCGGAUAUGACUCCAUGACGCAUGUUGUGGGGUGGAAAGCCUUGUGCGGCUGAGGAUGGGCCCGCGGCCUAUCAGCUUGUUGGUGGGGUGAUGGCCUACCAAGGCGACGACGGGUAGCCGGCCUGAGAGGGCGACCGGCCACACUGGGACUGAGACACGGCCCAGACUCCUACGGGAGGCAGCAGUGGGGAAUCUUGGACAAUGGGCGCAAGCCUGAUCCAGCCAUGCCGCGUGAGUGAAGAAGGCC
rnacentral:rRNA from 1 species